rnacentral:rRNA from 1 species
UAAAUUUAAUUCUAAUUUUAAGAUUAGUUUUUCUGAUAUCAAUUAUGAUAACUUAGUAAAUAUAUUAAUAAUGUAUAAGGAAAUUUCUAAAUAUGAUCAAGUAUAAGUGAUUAGGAUUUAAGAUACUGCUAAUAUUGUGCCAGCAGCAGCGGUUAUACAAUAAUUAUCUAAUUCAAAUAGUUAUACUAGUUAUGUUAAAAGAAUAGGUGAAAUUUUUAAUAGUUUGAUUUAUUAUAACAUUAAUAAAUAAUAACAAAAACAAGGAUUAGAUACCCUUCUAUUAUUAAAAAAUAAAUAUAAAUUUGAGACUUUAAACAAAAGAAUUUGGCGGUGUUUCAUUCAAUUAGGGGAUCCUGUAAUUUAAUUUGAUAAUCCACAAGUUAUUAGUCUAUUACUUGAUAAUAUCAAUAAAUGUAUUGCCGUAUUAUAGUUUUCUAUAGAGAAAUUAUAAUAGUUAUAUAAAUAUAUAAUUAUCACAGGUAAAAUAUUGUUUAUGUAAUAGUAUUAAUGGGAUACUUUGAUAUAAAGAUAAUAUUAAUACUAGAAUAAAUGUAUUAAAAAAUAGGACUUAAUAGUAAUUAAUUUAAAUAAAAUUAAUGAAUAAGAACUUGAAAUAAGCACAUAUUGCCCGUCGGUUUCUUUUAAAAUAGGAUAAGUCGUAACAUAGUAGGUGUAAUGGAAAUUGUAUCU